CCUACGGGGGGCAGCAGUCGGGAAUUUUGGGCAAUGGGCGAAAGCCUGACCCAGCAACGCCGCGUGAAGGAUGAAAUCCCUCGGGAUGUAAACUUCGCAGAAAAGAGAGCGGUAUCAUUUGUAAGCUCCGGCUAACUCCGUGCCAGCAGCCGCGGUAAUACGGGGGGAGCAAGCGUUGUUCGGAUUUACUGGGCGUAAAGGGCGCGUAGGCGGUAGCACAAGUCAGUUGUGAAAUCUCCGAGCUUAACUCGGAAAGGUCAACUGAAACUGUGCGACUAGAGUGCGGAAGGGGCAACUGGAAUUCUUGGUGUAGCGGUGAAAUGCGUAGAUAUCAAGAGGAACACCUGCGGCGAAGGCGGGUUGCUGGGCCGAACUGACGCUGAAGCGCGAAAGCCAGGGGAGCGAACGGGAUUAGAUACCCUUGUAGUC
rnacentral:rRNA from 1 species